rnacentral:tRNA from 1 species
GCAGUCGUAGCCGAGUGAUUAAGGCGAUGGACUAGAAAUCCAUUGGGGUCUCCCCGCACAGGUUCGAAUACUGUCGACUGCG